UUGAUUACGUCCCUGCCCUUUGUACACACCGCCCGUCGCUGCCCGGGACUGAGCCAUUUCGAGAAAUUUGGGGACCGUUGAUUUAAUUUUUCUAAAUUACUUUGAUGGAAAUCAAUUUAAUCGCAGUGGCUUGAACCGGGCAAAAGUCGUAACAAGGUAGCUGUAGGUGAACCUGCUGCUGGAUCAUUACUUUAUGUGAUGUUCAAAUUUGAAUUCGCAACAAAAAUAUACUGUUGUGAAACGGCUGUCGCUGGUGUCUAGGUGUUGCUGAUACAGUUGUUAACGUCCGUGGCUGUAUAUGUGGUGACAUGUUAGGACUCUUUAAUGAGUUUAAGACUUAAUGAGCCUCUUAAGCGAGUCCGCCAGCAACCCUUUUUUUCUCUACAUUUUAAAAAAAAACUAAAAUUCUACCCUUAUCGGUGGAUCACUAGGCUCGUGGAUCGAUGAAGAACGCAGCAAACUGCGAUAAUUAUUGCGAACUGCAGAAGUAUUGAGCACAAAAGUUUUGAACGCAAAUGGCCGCAUUGAGGUCAAACUCUUUGCAACGUCUGGUUCAGGGUCAUUUUCUCUUAUAGCGGAAGCUUUAAUUUCUAUAAUGAUGUUGUUGCUUUAUAUUUUAAAAGGAUUUUUGUUUAUUCAUGUAUUAAAUCUAACUGUGAAAAUCAAACAAUUUUGACCUGAACUCAGUCGAGAGCACCCGCUGAACUUAAGCAUAUCAUUUAGCGGAGGA
rnacentral:rRNA from 1 species